UACGAAGGGGGCGAGCGUUGUUCGGAUUUACUGGGCGUAAAGGGCGCGCAGGCGGCGCAUCAAGUCAGGCGUGAAAGCCCCGGGCUUAACCUGGGAACUGCGUCUGGGACUGGUGGGCUAGAGAUCGGGAGAGGAGAGUGGAAUUCCCAGUGUAGAGGUGAAAUUCGUAGAUAUUCGCAAGAACACCAGUGGCGAAGGCGGCUCACUGGCCCGGUACUGACGCUGAGGUGCGAAAGCGUGGGGAGCAAACAGGG
rnacentral:rRNA from 1 species